CUUCAGCUUGUAGUUCAUGCUGUACUUUGGUACUUAUUGCUUGGUUUGUCUUACUUCUAAUCUUGCUCUCUCUCUCUCUCUCUCUCUCUCUCUCACAGGUGUAAGGAGGGCUACCAUGGACUACGCUGUGACCAGUUUGUACCCAAGACAGAUGCUAUCUUGUCAGACCCAACGGAUGAACUUGGGAUUGAGUUCAUGGAGAGUGGUGACACUUACCAGAGGCAGGUGCUGUCCAUCUUCAGCAUUGCCUCAGGGAUCUGUCUUCUUGGAGUGGCAUGUAUGGCUCUUUACCGCCGCAACAAAAGACACAGAGAAAAACUCCAGGCUCAUUUCUCCGAUAGCCGCAGCCUGAGGGACUGCAGCGUCAACGCCUCUGGCCUCAUGUCCAAAUCUACUCCCAGGCUCCAAUACAGCCUUCAACUCCAGAAGAGCUGCAGUUCUCACGGAUCGUCUGUUAAAGGCAGCAGCGUGGCACCAGGCACAGUAGCCCCUCCUAUUCUCAGCAGAGCGCUGUCUAAAGGGAAACGCUUCAGGAGUAGUUCCCUUUCACUUAGUCCUGCACGACAGCGGAGGGAGACUAACUACUUCAGGACCCCACCCAUUUCCAGAGGGAAACACAAAAUAUCGACAAAUCUCAUUGAUGGAUCCAGAGUGGCUGGCCACGUCUACAAACACUUGCAGGAGGAUGAGUCAACAGACAUGGAGUUCAUAAGAAGGUGUGAUUCUGCGAGUGGAAAGAUCGGCCCCCUCCUCAGCAGGACUCCGCUCUCUCACUUCGCAGCCAGAAAAGGAUGGACCGAAUUCCCAUGCACCCGUCUGGAUAAGGGUACCACCUACCCUCCACCUUCCCUGCGCACCCGUUCUGUGCCCAUCAUCCCCUCGCUCCAAGCAUGUGACCUCGAGGCGGCGAAUGUGGACGUGAGUGGGCGGAACCAAGCGGGGAUGCUCAAGUGGCGCCCCGCACUGUCUGGAAAGACCAUGCCCAAGAUCAAUUCUCCCGCUCCGCCCUGUGAGACUUGUGCUGCUGUGCUGGCUCCCGGUGUUAGCCCCAGCAGUGUGAGCCCUCCUGCCACCAUCGGCGUCACACUGGGGACGGAGAAGAAUGUCAACUCCGCACACACACCUUGCUCCGUUGAAAUAACACUGGAACUCGCGCAGGACUUAAAACUCAAAAGCCUUUCCGGCCCCAUGAAAAUGUCCGGGUCUCGCGAGAUCCCCCGCAGCGGCACAAACACUCUCGAUGCUGGGGUUGUGCAGGAGUCAGAAGGGAAAAGUGUCCAAUAUUCAGCCAGAGUUCUGUACACAGGCGGUGGGACCAGAGGUUUGAAGGCAGCAGGCCAAAGAGAAUCCCAGGGAUGGUGCCAAGGUCAGACGUCCCUCGUGUACGGAGGCGCAAACUACUACUUGGCCACCAAAGGACCCAGCUGCAGAGGAACUGGAGAUGCUUAUGCCAAGCCCUCUGAAAGCUGAUUGGAUUAACUCUGUAAAGCUUCAAACACACUGUUUUCAAUAACUGUAUACCUUUGCUGGUGGCACAGGAUGGUUAGCAGGUGGGAGCAUCUGUGUGGCCAAACGGACCAAAAGCAGAUGGCCGUCGGUUUUGAAGGAACACGAACAGAUUGAACUGCAGACGGAAAAAAUAUUGACACAACAAAAGACAUGAAAUUAUAAAGAAACAAAGACAAACAAACACACAUUGUGAAUAAAUGUGACUCAAUAAGGAAAACAAGACGUUACUUGAGUGGGAGCUUGAAUUAAACAGUGUAUUGAAAAAAAUGCCACUAUUUAAAAGGAGCUUCUACUUAGAAACCAAAAUAGUGUGUCAUCUCUAUGUUGUUUCUCUAUUGUAAAGAAAUGAAAUUAUAUAUGUCAUAUAAUAUAUGUCAUAUAGACGUAUAUAUAUUUGACAUACAAUUGUGACAAAAUAAAGACUAAGAUAACAGUGUUAAUUCAGGG
ensembl:lncRNA uncharacterized LOC115025063